rnacentral:miRNA from 1 species
CCUUCCUGUAGAAAAGAGCUACCCACUACGGGUCUCCUCUGGGCUGAGAGCUGGACACUUAUUGGAAUGACCUGCCUGCAGAAAGG